ensembl:snoRNA LOC120098382 small nucleolar RNA SNORA17
CCUGCCCUUAUAAGGAUUGCAGGUGUGGCUGCUGUGUCACACAUGUAUCAGUAGGUACUCAGAAGGAGAGAGGCUAUGUCUACGCUCAUUGUUCUGACUUAUGAACCUGUAUGAUUAGUAGCCUAAUAUU